UGGUUUGUCGCGUCGUUUGUGUAAGCCCGCAGCUUAACUGCGGGACUGCAGGCGAUACGGGCAUAACUUGAGUGCUGUAGGGGAGACUGGAAUUCCUGGUGUAGCGGUGGAAUGCGCAGAUAUCAGGAGGAACACCGAUGGCGAAGGCAGGUCUCUGGGCAGUAACUGACGCUGAGGAGCGAAAGCAUGGGGAGCGAACAGGAUUAGAUACCCUGGUAGUCCAUGCCGUAAACGGUGGGCGCUAGGUGUGAGUCCCUUCCACGGGGUUCGUGCCGUAGCUAACGCAUUAAGCGCCCCGCCUGGGGAGUACGGCCGCAAGGCUAAAACUCAAAGGAAUUGACGGGGGCCCGCACAAGCGGCGGAGCAUGUGGAUUAAUUCGAUGCAACGCGAAGAACCUUACCUGGGCUUGACAUACACCAGAUAGGGCCAGCGAUGGUCUUUCCCUUUGUGGUUGGUGUACAGGUGGUGCAUGGUUGUCGUCAGCUCGUGUCGUGAGAUGUUGGGUUAAGUCCCGCAACGAGCGCAACCCUUGUCUUAUGUUGCCAGCACGUUAUGGUGGGGACUCGUGAGAGACUGCCGGGGUUAACUCGGAGGAAGGUGGGGAUGACGUCAAAUCAUCAUGCCCCUUAUGUCCAGGGCUUCACACAUGCUACAAUGGUCGGUACAACGCGCAUGCGAGCCUGUGAGGGUGAGCGAAUCGCUAUCAAAGCCGGUCGUAGUUCGGAUUGGGGUCUGCAACUCGACCCCAUGAAGUCGGAGUCGC
rnacentral:rRNA from 1 species